rnacentral:rRNA from 1 species
AGUGAACGCUGGCGGUAGGCCUAACACAUGCAAGUCGAACGGCAGCACAGUAAGAGCUUGCUCUUACGGGUGGCGAGUGGCGGACGGGUGAGGAAUACAUCGGAAUCUACUUUUUCGUGGGGGAUAACGUAGGGAAACUUACUCUAAUACCGCAUACGACCUACGGGUGAAAGCAGGGGAACUUCGGACCUUGCGCGAUUGAAUGAGCCGAUGUCGGAUUAGCUAGUUGGCGGGGUAAAGGCCCACCAAGGCGACGAUCCGUAGCUGGUCUGAGAGGAUGAUCAGCCACACUGGAACUGAGACACGGUCCAGACUCCUACGGGAGGCAGCAGUGGGGAAUAUUGGACAAUGGGCGCAAGCCUGAUCCAGCCAUACCGCGUGGGUGAAGAAGGCCUUCGGGUUGUAAAGCCCUUUUGUUGGGAAAGAAAAGCAGCAGGUUAAUACCCCGCUGUUCUGACGGUACCCAAAGAAUAAGCACCGGCUAACUUCGUG